CCUUUCCCAGGUCCAUUCCGGCCAUUGAUUAGGCCAAUCAUUCUUAAGAAUUAUUUUAUAACUUUCCCGUAAUACGAAAUGAUUUGCUUUGAGUUGCUAUGCUGUUUUAUGAUUUUCCCAUGGUGUGACAUGAUUUGCUGUGUGAUGAUGGGACUCCUGAA